rnacentral:rRNA from 1 species
CGGACGGGUGAGUAACGCGUGGAAAACCUGCCGUAUACUGGGGGAUAACACUUAGAAAUAGGUGCUAAUACCGCAUAAGCGCACAGCUUCGCAUGAAGCGGUGUGAAAAACUCUGGUGGUAUACGAUGGUUCCGCGUCUGAUUAGCUAGUUGGUGGGGCAAUGGCCUACCAAGGCAACGAUCAGUAGCCGGCCUGAGAGGGUGAACGGCCACAUUGGGACUGAGACACGGCCCAAACUCCUACGGGAGGCAGCAG